rnacentral:rRNA from 1 species
GCCAACGUCCAUACCACGUUGAACACACCGGUUCUCGUCCGAUCACCGAAGUUAAGCAACGUCGGGCGCGGUCAGUACUUAAGUUUGAAAAUGGCUUUGUUGGCU